GGAUGUCUCCGGUGAAGUUGUUGAGUCGGAGAGAUAUGAACUUCAAACGGCGAAGGAGAGACAGUUGGUGUGGCAAAUCUCCAUAGAAAAGGUUGUUGGAGAGGUCGAGGGAGACGAGGAAGGAGAGGCGUCCGAGCUGUGGAGGAAUGGUGGCGGAGAGAGCCAUGUUGGAGAGAUUCAAGGAAGCUACUCUGUGGUGGCGCAAGCUGCAAGUGACGCCAAUCCAGCUGCAGACGGAGGUCGAAUUGGUCCAAUUAGUUGCAAGUAAAAGAGAUGUAUGUUUGAGUGAAAGAAGGGAAGUUUGAUCAGUUGCAAGGCUCAGAGGUUGUUUGGCUUUGGCUUCAGAAGAAAGCAUUGGGAAGGUUAUGGUGAUUAGGAAUGCAUACAGCAAAAUGCAAGAAAGCUUUUUCUCCAUGGCUGCAAAUUGUGAUUGUAUUAUGAUAAUGAAGUCGCUAAUAACUGCAAGCCUUUGAGUCAAAUAUUACAAGAGUUGAGAGUGUUGCUUUUGAUGUGUUUUUUGGUUUUUGUACGUUUUUUCCGUUUGAGUCAAGUCGUCCUUAGAUGUCGGCACCAAUCACUUAUAGAGACUGAGACGAAAACUUGAGGUUGAGACAAAUUCUUGAAUAAUUUUAUUCAACUACACAUGGAUUGCAAUGACCAGAAUUUCAAACUUACGAAUCACAACAUUGAAUUUGCAUGCAUUCAUAAAGUUGGGUGACAAUUAUUUUUUAAAAUAUGACAAAUUAUUAGAAUUCACACAUUACAUGUAUCCUAAUAAAUAAUUUGUAUGCCAACAACAUAAAUAAAAUAAAUAAUUAGUCGGUGGGUAUUGUGUGAAAUUAAUUCUUACGUCAAGGCCAGUAUAUUCAAUCCCAGUACCAAAAAAUUAUAAAAUGCACCAUUAAUAAAUAAAUUAUUACAGUUGCGAUUGGCUGCAAAUCAUGUGAUUUGCACAAAUUAUCAGAGUAUUUUAUACUUUACAAAUUAUCAUGACUAAUUCAAUGCGACUAACUAAUUAUCAAUGCAAUAAAAAUCCAAAAUGAAAAUGGGAAUGGUACUACUAUUAGGUUGACAAUUACUGGUCGAAGAGAUCAAAAUAAAAUAUUAAAAGAGGAUUCAAAUUAUUGAAAAAAUAAGGUACCAAAUUUACAAUCCAAAUUAACUUGUCAUUGGUUCAAUUAAUAAAUUAAAUGGACAAACCCAACAAAUAAAGAUGUUAAAAUAAAUCGGCCCAAUCUUAAAAAAAUUGUAGCCCACUUAUUAAACAAGAGCCCAAACAAAAUUAAAUAGAUAGGGACCAAACAUAAAAGUCAAAUUUUGAAAAUUCUUAAAAGAGAAAAAAAAAAUUAAACAUCUCUCUCUCUCUCACCCUCUGCUACGCAGCCACCCGCCGCCGGCGAAGUCGCCACCGCCUCAUGCUCCGGCGAAGGCGCUGCCCUCAGCCUCUCUUUCCUUCCUUCCCCCAAAUCUCCCUCUCUCGCCUUUCCUAUGGGCAUCUCCAAUGGAGGUUAUUACGGGUUGUGAUUUGAGGAAAGAGGAGAGAGAGGAUGUGUUAUUGCAACCUCUCAUCUUUUUUCUUUUACUUUUAUUUUCUUUCUUUUUAUUCUUUUUUUUCUUCUUUCUUUCGUUUGUUUCUAUUUCCUAUGUUUGCAUUAAAUUUAAUUUUCAUUCUUUAUUCUAUUUUUUCUUAUUUAUUGUAUGCUUCUAUUUUUUUUUCUUUUCAUUCUUUCUUUUAUAUUUAUAAAAUAAUUAAUUUAUAUUAAAUUAUAAAGAAUAAAUAUGAGAAUUAAAUAAAUAUGAAUAAAUAUCGAGUUGGUUGAAAGUGGGUGGAAAGUGAUGUCAGCAAAAACCUGAGUUUGAGGAGGUAUUGUUGUAGGUGAAAGUAAGAGUAGAAGAAUAUGAUGAUAUGACUACGAUGAUAUCAGCAAAAACCUUGAGAUGAGGAGGUACUGUUGGAGAUGCUCUAAGGUGAAGAAAAUAAUUUUAAUAGUUGUAUAAAUAUGCAUAAUAAUACAUGUAAUGGGCUAAAAAGAAUUUAGCCAAAAUACUUUUAAAAGUAGCAAUCAAUUAGGUCCAACCCAACUUCAAAAAUAAAUGAACUUGAAAAUCCAUCAUUUAAAACUCACGUGAUAUUCAUAUGAAAACUUUCAAUCACACUCACAUAAUAUUAUUAAAAUUAUGCAAGUAUAAAGUUUUGGUUAUUUGCUUUACAACUUUAACAAAUCGUUUAAUGGAAUUAAAACAAUUUAAUUUUCUCUUUGGUACGAAUUAACUUAAUUACUGACUCCUCUAAAAAUCUUUGUUGAGGCAAAAUCGGGGUAUUAUAAAAUAAUUUUUUGAAAAAUAUAAAAUAUUAUUCUUUCUAACAUUUAAUAAUCUAGGGUUGUCUCUCAAGCCUACUUCUAUUCGGGUUCGGAUCAUCUCUCCAAUAAUAAUAAUAAUAAUAAUAAUAUAUUAUUAUUAUUAUUAUUAUUAUUAUUAUUAUUAUUAUUAUUAUUAUUAUUAUUAUUAUUAUUAUUAUUUCCUUAGAUUAUAUAUCCUCCGUCCACGAAAAAUAGUUUUAUUUGGGGUUCCGCAUGGGUGGAUUUUAAGAAAAUUGUUAAAAAAAAGUGUAAGUGGAGUAAAAAUAAAUUUAUAGGAGUAGUACUAAUAUCACUAUUGAAAUUCCUUAAUGCCAAAUUAACUUUUGAUGGCAACAAUUUCAACCCUGAUUAAAUUUUUAACACUUUAGUUUUUCAUCUUAAUUCAAGUUAAAUUUCAUACUUCAUCUUAAUUCAAAAAAAUAAUAAUAAUAAUCAUUUCUCUUUUUUUUAUGUGCACAAUUUAUAAUCAACUCAAUAAGAAUAUGACAUGUGUCAUAGUACUUUUUUUCGGGGUAUGUAUAAUAUUUUAUAUUUUUGUUAAUGAUCCACUUUAACCGGGCAAAAUGUUUGGUCAAAAUAAAUUUAUUCAUUCAAUAAAGGGUUAAUUGCACGUAAAUACACAAAGUUUGCCGAAAAUCCAUAUUUGACGCGAAUUUUGAAACUUACAUUUUAAUACACCAAUUUAAGAAGUUGUUCAAUUUUGACACAUUUUUCAAUUCCGGCGACCGACAUUCUGACGUGGACGCCGGAAUGCCACAUCAUCACCACGUCACACACACACAUACACUCCACUCUCUCUCUCUCACACCCCACUCUCUCUCUCUCUCUAUACACGUCACCUUCCCCCCCUCGUCCCCCCCGUCGGACCCUCCCCUCCCCAGAACCGCAUCGCACCGCCGCCGCCGCCGAGCCCAGCCUCCCGCCGUCAGCCACUUCCCCCUGAAAACCUCGAGUCUGCACCAUCCGUCAUCAACCCACAAUACAAAGAAAUGCUCCGUUUCAAUUCCUUCCAACCCUAAUUUCUCUCUCCAAGGAAGAAGAAGAUACCCUCAAUUCCCUUCCCGUCUCUCUCCAAAAUGGCCUCUCUAACCCCCGGAAUCCUCCUCAAGCUCCUCUAGUCCAUGAACUCCACCACCAAAGUCACCGGCGACCACCGCAGCCCCCUCCUCCAGGUCAUCGGAAUCUUGCCCGCUCUCUCCGCCGCCGACUCCCUAUGGCCGCACAACGGAUUCUACGUCCAGCUCUCCGACUCUCUCAACUCCACCUACGUCUCCCUCUCCGACCGCNUCUCUCUCUCUCUCUACUACACCGUCCACCUUCCCCCCCUCCGUCCCCCCGUCCGGACCCUCCCCUCCCCAGAACCGCAUCGCACCGCCGUCGCCGCCGAGCCCAGCCUCCCGCCGUCAGCCACUUCCCCCUGAAAACCUCGAGUCUGCACCAUCCGUCAUCAACCCACAAUACAAAGAAAUGCUCCGUUUCAAUUCCUUCCAACCCUAAUUUCUCUCUCCAAGGAAGAAGAAGAUACCCUCAAUUCCCUUCCCGUCUCUCUCCAAAAUGGCCUCUCUAACCCCCGGAAUCCUCCUCAAGCUCCUCUAGUCCAUGAACUCCACCACCAAAGUCACCGGCGACCACCGCAGCCCCCUCCUCCAGGUCAUCGGAAUCUUGCCCGCUCUCUCCGCCGCCGACUCCCUAUGGCCGCACAACGGAUUCUACGUCCAGCUCUCCGACUCUCUCAACUCCACCUACGUCUCCCUCUCCGACCGCGACACCGACCUCAUCCUCAACAACCGCCUCCAAUUAGGGCAAUUUGUGCACCUCGAUCGCCUGCUCUUCGACUCCCCUCCCGUCCCCACGCCCGUCAACCUCCGCCCCCUGAGCCCUUAAUUGCUCGGAUCUCCCCUAACAAAAACGGUUUCGUCAUUCAGCCGGUUUCCGACUCGGACCCCUCGGCCGACCCCAUCACUGCCUAUUUGUCGAGGGCGGGGAAGAAGGAGACGGAAGGAAAGGAAAAAUUCGCAGAGGGUAAGGGCAGCAGGCUAGUAAUUGCCCCCAAAAAAGAGAAUGUUAAUGUGAAUGUAGCUGCAAAUUGCGGAGAUGACAGCUCCAACAGUAGUAGAUCUGGAUCGGAUAAAAUUUCGCAGAGGUUCGCGUCGCCUGGGGCGCUGAAGCAGAGGCCGGUAUCGGCUGGGAGGGGGAAGUGGCUGACGGCGGGAGGCUGGGCUCGGCGGCGGCGGCGGUGCGAUGCGGUUCUGGGGAGGGGGAGGGUCCGACGGGGGGACGGCGGGAAGGUGACGUGUAUAGAGAGAGAGAGUGUGUGUGUGUGUGACGUGGUGAUGAUGUGCCAUUCCGGCGUCCACGUCAGAAUGCCUGUCGCCGGAAUUGAAAAAUGUGUCAAAAUUGAACAACUUCUUAAAUUGGUGUAUUAAAAUGUAAGUUUCAAAAUUCGCGUCAAAUAUGGAUUUUCGGCAAACUUUGUGUAUUUACGUGCAAUUAACCCUUCAAUAAAAAUAUGACAUGUGUUACAAUACUUUUUUUUUUGGGGGGGGGGCGUCUUCUAUCGAUCGAGCUUUAAUCGAGUCGAAUACAGUGCCGAGCCUAAUCGAACUUUUUAAAUUUAAAUUUUUAUUUAAGAUUUUAGUUAAUUAUUUUCCUAAUAUAUAAAUUAAUUUUCAAAUAUAUAAGUUAUUUUAUCCACAAAAAUAUAAUCCAAAUAUAUUUACUAUUUUCUUGUAAAUAAAUGAUGUUAAUUAGAUACUUAAUCUAAAUAUUACUAAUUACAGUAUAAAAUAUAGUAAGACAUUUAAUGAAUAAUCUUAUGUUUUUAAGAUAAAUCAAUUAACGAGAUUAUUCAUGAGCUAACGAGCUGAAUAUCGUCAUGCUCAAGCUUGACUUGUUUAGCUAAACGAGUUGUUCAUUAAAUUACCGAUUAAGCUUUUAUCGAGUCGAACGUCAAAUAGCUCACGAAUAGCUUGACUCGUUUAUAGCCCAGCCACCUUACUACCACAAAUUUCUUAUGAUCUCAAAUUCACUGGCACUGCAUUCUCCAGGGGCCGUUUAUCUGAGACCUCAUUAGACAAGCUACCAUUUGAAAAUGAAAUGAAGUCAACUUUGAACCUGAAAAUCUAAAGAGAAAAAAACAAUUACACAGUAAAAUUAAGGCUGGCACCCUCCAACCAAAACAUAAUGAAAGAAUAUAGAAGAAAUUGCUAGAUUUGCUAAAAAAAUUGAGGUAUAAAAACAUGCGUGCACAAAACAGCAUAUAACAAUCUCUCCUAAUCGAAAAACGGGCAAACAAAUAAACAACAGACGAAACGCAAUCAAAUCCACACAUGCAACCAAACAAACAUGCAGAAAUACCUGAAGCAAUCUCUCCUAAUCGAAAACGAAUCGCACGAAUCUGUCACCGCAAAAGCUGCAUUAACGCGACAAAUUUAUUUGUUGAUUAAUGAUAAUUAAUUUAAUUAGGUAUCUUAUUUAUUUGUUGUGUUAAUGCGACAAAUGGAAUAUACUAAUAUGGCUUGAACUUGAGCUGUUUUCUGGGUUGGAUUUUGAACAUGUUGUAUAGGGGCUGGGUUUUAUUUGUUGAUAAUUUGGGUUGCCCAUUUAACUUUUCAUUACAUGUUGUAUUUUGAAUGGAUAAUUAUAAAUUAUUUUUCUAUUUUUAAUUUAUGCUUCUGUUUAAUGUCAUUGACAAGAUAUAACUUGUCGAGUUUUAAUACAUUAUUUACAUAAUUCUAGUAUAAAAUAAUUUUUUGAAAAAUAUAAAAUAUUUUUGUUUCUGGCACUUAAUAAUUUAAGAGCUCAUAGUUGUGAAUUCUUUUCUAAUGGUAAUAAAUAUUAUGUAUAAUAGAUAUAAAUCACGAUAUAUUUCUUGGUAUGUGUGAUCGAUUGACCACAUCAUACUCUUAUGUAUUUGCUUUAGAUAACGAUGUUUUCCCCAUAUGUAUGUGCGCACUCAUACAUAAUAUCACUAUAUAUAUUGCAGAUUUAGGUAUAUAGAUAACACAAUGAACCCGUAACCUAUGACUACUUUUUUUAGUAGUGAAACUUGUAAUCUUGUGAGUUGAUAUGAUCAUCCAAUUCAACCUUUAUUCUUACUAAUUUUCUGGUUCUUAAAAAUUAAUUUUAGUAUCAUUUAAUUUGAUUAGAUCUACAAAUAAUUAUAUACUCCCUCCGUCCACGAAAGAACUUCAUAGGAGGGAGUGACACGCGUUUUAAGAAAAAUAUUAUUGAGUGUAUUAAAAGUGGAGAAAAAGUUGUUGAGUGUAUUGAGAGUGGUGAAAAAGUAGUAUAAUUAAUAUUAGGAGUUGUGAAAAAGUGAAAGUAAGAGUUAUUAUAAGUGGUGGGGUAUAGUCCAAAAAUAGGUAGGAAGUUCUUUUGUGGACGGAGGGAGUAUUUUGCAACUACACCGGUGUGUUCUGUUGGCCUACGCCUGAGUUUACGGUUGCAGGUGAGGCAUUGAUCUCAACCAUGGAGACAUCACAAUUUGCAUUAUAAUAUUUAAUUUUUUAUUAGGGUAAAGAUUUUGAUAAAUAUUAAUAUAGAAUUGAAAAGUUACAAAUUAGAGUGAAUAAUAUAUACAUAUAAAUAUCUUACAACUAAGUCAAACUAGCUAAAUGAUUGGUUGUCAAUCCAUCACUAAGUAAGUAUUUGAAUUUUUUGUUGACGGAAGACAUCAUAUCCUACUAUCAAUUUUCAUACAGAAGAUGGAAAUUCUAAACAAACUCUGACUCAUUCAAUGAGGCAAUUAAUGUCAUCAUUUUUUUUUUUUUCAUUUGAUAAAUUAACUAUUAAAUUAAAAAAUUGUAAAUUAUGGAUUCAAAAUUGGGGGAAAUACCGUGUUGCCCUCUACAUGUUCGACGGAAUGCGCCAAUGGGACGUCGAAAUUGAAUGUGUGCUCGAUGAGUAUCACAAUCAAUUGCUGCUACCUUCUAUGCCGUGUGAAGAUCGGGUUUGUGCUUCUGGGCAGCUUGAUCAAGUUCGGCUGCGAACGGAAUAUCAAAAUUUUCAAAACUCUUUUGAGAGGGGUUGUUUUAGUUGGUGAGAAUGGUGAGGCAGAGGCGUUGUUCAGAAAGAUUUUGCCUUUUAAGCUGUGACAAAGAAGAUUAUACAUAAACUCAAGAACAUAAAAUAUGGAGGAAAGAGGGAUAAGAAAACCUUGAGCAUUAGUUGUUGAAAUAGAAAUUAUAUAAAAGGAGAAAAACGAAAAAGAAAACCUAGCAAACCCUUGAAAGCACAAAGACGCUAACUAAGGGCCGAGCCUCAAUAAAACCUUCAUGGCGAAACCCAAUGGGAAAAACACCAGUAAAGGAAAAAGAGUAAUCGUCUACUACAACGAGAAAAAAAAGCAGAAACAAGAAGAACAAAUUAACAAUAAUAGCAAAAACCAACAAAAAGAAGACAUCACUAUCCAGUGCCUCACCCCGGUUAGCAUCUACUGCCUCUUCAAAAUCUUCAACACUACAUGCCUCAUCAAAGCCACCAAAUGAAGAAGACAUCAUUAGCUAAUUAACUUUACGAUAGAAAUUUGAGAUAUGAAUAUCCUUUUAGAAAUAACAUAGAACUUUGAAAUAGCUUACUUGAAUCUCAUUGGGAAAAUCGAUGUUUGAUUUUCUGCAACUCUGCAUGUGCUUGUUUCAUGUUGAUUCUAUCCCCGGGAGAGUCGGCAGAGCAUUUCAAAGCCAAUUCAAGUAUGGAUGAUACACACUGCAUAUUCUUGUCAAUCAUUUCUUCCUCCAAAUUCAUGACUAAGUUGGCAUCCAUCAAUUCAUCUGGGAUCUUCGUAAGUGAGAGUUCUACCCAUCUCUUUAAGCUCAUAUCUCCGCAAAACAGAUCAUCAUUAGGCCUUUUUCUUGUAAAAGUUUCAAUUAGCAUCACUCCGUAGCUAUACACAUCACACCUUGUUGAAACUAGCCCUUCCAAACCAUACUCUGGAACAACAAAAAUGAUCAUGAUGUAUGCAGUAAGGAAGACACAAUUAAUUGAUUAAAAGUGAAGUGCAAUACAUAUAUUUAGAGAAACUUCACCUGGAGCGAUGUAACCCAAUGUUGCUAGCGUGUUGGUUAACACAGAGCUAUCUCCAUCGCAUAACAACUUUGCUAUCCCAAAGUCGCUUACAUGGGCAACCAUGUCUUCAUCUAACAACACAUUACUAGGCUUCAAGUCGCUGUGGACAAUGAGCAUUGAAUAACCGUGGUGAAGAUACUCCAAAGCAGAUGCAACAUCAAUCAUUAUAUUCAAUCUCUCCAUCAUAUUCAAGCAAUAGUUGUGGGAAUAUAACCAUUUUUCAAGGUUUCCCUUUGGCAUAUAUUCAAGUACUAAUGCCUUGAACUCUUCAUUGGAGCAACUGCUUAUGACGCUUGUCAGAUUCCUGUGUCGAAUGCUACGGAGUAUCUCACAUUCGACAUCAAAUAUUCUUGAAAUACCUUCUAGCUGCAUAUUAAACACCUUGACAGCGAUAUCCUUCCCAUUGUUAAGAAUUCCCUUAUAAACAGAGCAAGAACUCCCGGUGCCAAGUAAAUUGCUUUCAUUGAAUCUUUCCGUUGCUUGCAGCAGUUCAUAAUAAGAGAUUCUUUCCGGCACAAUGGAUUUCAGCUCAUCAACUUCUCUGCUAGUCGUCUUAUCUUUCCUUUUGUUUUUGACAAUUAUAAAGGCCAAAGAAACAACUGAGAUGAAAGCCACAACCCCGAAAACAAUAAAUGAAGCUCGUUCCACCUUCUUUCUCUUUGAUCUGUGAUUAGAAAUUGAAGAGCAAAUUUGGACAUGGAACUUUGGGAUUCCACACAAUGCCUCAUUACCCUUAAAAGAAUCCAUAGUGAAGUCUCUAAACGAACCUCCAUUAGGAAUUUCUCCACUCAAACUAUUGAAAGAGACAUUAAAGUAGUCGAGGUGUUGGAGUGCUUCUAAAGACUUUGGAAUUGAACCAGAGAGGUUGUUGUACGACAAGUCGAGAUUUGCCAAACUGGUCAUUUUUCCCAUAGACACAGGAAUAGAACCUUCUAGUCUAUUAUUUGCCAAAGACAAAUUAAUCAAAUUCUGCAACUUUUCAAUAUUCGUCGGAAUUGACCCUGACAACUGAUUCAUUGAUAGGUUUAUAUAGAUCGCUGCUCCUAAGUUACUCAUCUCUAGAGGUAGUGACCCAUUUAAUGAAUUUGAGGACAAGUCUAGAGUGAUCAAAUCUUUUAGGCCCCAUAAGCUUGAUGGUAUGCUUGAAUUCAAAAUGUUGGAUUCUAGAAGAAGAUGUCUUAAAGAAGAGACAUUUCCAAGACAUUUAGGAAUUGGGCCUGAAAAUUGAUUCUGGCUCAUAACUAAAGUAUUGAGGCUGAAUAGAUCACAUAUAGCAUGUGGUAUUGAGCCUCCCAACAUGUUAUCAGACAUACGUAAUCCUUGAAGUUCAUGCAAAUGGCUUAUAGUUAGUGGAAUAUUACCUGAUAACUCAUUCCUGCAAACCAAUUCAUCAAAUUGCUUAAAUUGCCAUUUCACAGGAAUGUGCCAUGAAUUUGCAGUUGUGGCAUAGAAUGUUUGAAGUGAGGAAGAUAAGUUCCGACAGAAGCUGGAAUGAUUAAGGAUUAUAAAUUCAAAUGAGUUAGAGACUGCAAUUUGUCAAUGAAGUAAUGAAGGAAGAAGAUGGUGCUGGGUAAGAUUGUUUCUAUGCAGUAGAAGAUCUUGAAGAAGUCUUAGGUUGCUGAGAUGAGUAGGUAUAUUACCACUGAAUUUGUUUUUAUAAAGUGCGAGAAUUGUGAGUUGAGAACAGUUAGAGAUGGAGUUGGGUAUUGCUCCGGUGAUAGAAUUUGUGCCAAGAUAAACUUCUUCAAGAGAGGGAGAGGCAUGGCAUAAAUGGGUUGGAAGAACCCCUGACAGAGCAUUGCCGGCAAGUGAAAGAAUCUGAAGAGUUGAAAUGUUAAAGAGCUCAUGUGGAAUCGAACCACUCAAGCUGUUCAAUUGUAGGUCUAAUGUCUCCAAAUGGUAAAGUUGGCCAAAUUCAGUGGGAAUAAGACCUGCAAAACAUGAGAUUACAAAAUUGUAGCUAAACAGACAAUUUACAUGAAAAUUGCUCUGUUGUACCUGUAAAAUGGUUUUCCGAGAGCUCUAACUCUGUUAGCAUGGUAAUAUUCCCGACAUCCCUUGAAAGGUUCCCCGUGAAUUUGUUGCGCCAUAGUGCUAAGAUUUGCAGAGAAGACAUAUUCAUGAAAAUAUUGAAAUCAAUUGAGCCUGCAAUCUCAUUCUGUUCAGCACCAAAACUAACCAGACUCUGAAGAUGGCCAAUCUCAUGUGGUAGUAUUCCUGCAAAAAAAGUGUCAUGAAACUAAUAAAAUCUCAUUUACACAAAUUUAUGUGAUAAGUGAACCAUACCAUUCAAAUUGUUACCACCAAGAUUUAGAAUCUGAAGAGAUGUUAAGUAGCCGAUUUCUGAAGGUAUCUCCCCACUAAAAGAGUUGUAAGAGAGGCUCAACACCUCAAGCCGUGAACAUUGGGAUAGAUUUGUGGGAAUCGCACCACUCAGCUGAUUUCUAGAAAGACGAAUGAGAGCAAGAAAUGGAAGAUUACUGCACAUGUCUGUUGGAAGACUUCCACUCAGUUCAUUGUAUCUCAAUGCUAUAACUACAAGGGUCGAGAUGUUGAAUAUGGCUGAUGGUAUAGCACCCGAUAAAUGAUUGGAUUGAACAUACAGAGUUUGUAGACUUUGAAGUCUCCCAAACUCUUUUGGAAUUUCUCCACUUAGAGAAUUGGAAGAUAAGUCAAGAAAUUGUAGGUUUGUGAGGUUUGAGAGAGAUUUUGGGAUGGAACCUAUGAAGCUGUUGUUGCUUAAAGACAAGUGCUCUAAUUUUGGUAACUGACCCAACAUCGGAGGGAUGUCUCCGGUGAAGUUGUUGAGUCGGAAAGAUAUGAACUUCAAACGGCGAAGGAGAGACAGCUCUUGAGGCAAAUCUCCAUAGAAAUGGUUGUUGGAGAGGUCGAGGGAGACGAGGAAAGAGAGGUGUCCGAGCUGUGGAGGAAUGGUGCCGAAGAGAGCCAUGUUGGAGAGAUUCAAGGCAGCUACUCUGUGGUGGCGGAAGCUGCAAGUGACGCCAAUCCAGGUGCAGACGGAGGUGGAGUUGGUCCAAUUAGUUGCAAGUAAAAGAGAUGUAUGUUUGAGUGAAAGAAGGGCAGUUUGAUCAGUUGCAAGGCUCAGAGGCUGUUUGGAUUCAGAAGAAAGCAUUGGGAAGGUUAUGGUAAUUAGGAAUGCACACUGCAAAAUGCAAUAAAGCUUUUUCUCCAUGGCUGCAAAUUGUGAUUGUAUUAUGCAUCCAAUAAUCAUCACAUAUAUAUACACAAAUUAAUGGAAGACUUGGUUGACUUGAGAGUCUUGAUGGGUGUGGGUUUUGAGUCAAGUCGUCCAUACAAAUUAAUGGAAGACUUGAGGUUGUGGACUACAAAUGUGGGCCCCAGUCACUACAAAUUAAUGGACUUAAUCAAUGAUUAUUUGGACUUCUACAACUUAAUCUUCGGUAACAGAUUGUCAAAUUUAUGAAGGGGAAACAACCUAUAUAUUAUGAAGGGAAUAACAAUACAGCAAUAUGAUUAGCAAAAUAAUCAAUUGGUUCUUAAAUAAGAUGUUACAUUAAAUCUUGUACUAAAAGUGGAUUUCUUUAUCCUAGUCUUAUACGAGAUUGUAUUAUUCGAUUCUAAGUCACGCAUUCGCCAUUAUGCUUACUAUUCAAAAUAAUUUUGUCAAUUAAAUAAAACUUUACAAAUAGAAAUCAUAUCGUCAGUGCGUCACUGAUGAUGGAAUUGGUUUGGGAGGCACUUUUAAUUCCUUGAUGGAGAAUUUCGGAGCUACAAUACUGAGAAAGAAAAAGAAUUAAUAAAGAAUUAACAUAGUGCAAAAAAAAAAAGUCUUAAAUAGCAAUAAAAAGAAGAAAAAACAGAGAAAAAAUAGAAGACAAGUAAGACUUAACGCAGUACAAAAAAUCCUUCAAUGGCAAAUUGGCAAUAUAAAGAAGAAUAAGAAAAACCAGAGCAAAAAAUAGAAGAAAGGUAGAGGAGGCAUCGAGUAAUGCGAUGCUGCCCCUCGACUCGAGAGGCUCACGAUAGAACGGGUAGGGGAAAAGCGGCUUUAUUGCGGGCGCGUGCUAUGCACGCCCCGAAUUUAAAAAAAAAAAAAAAAAAAAUUGAGAAAAGAAGCAACACAAUGUUUGAGCAACCUCUUAGUCAGUUUAACAUUAUCUUCUCAUGGUGAUAGGACUAAGAUGUAAUAAUAUGUAUUAAUAGUGAUUUAGCCUUGAGUGCUAUGCCAUUCAUUUUUCCAUAUCCCACCACUUUUUCAAGGAAUCAAAGGCCACCACCAUAAUUGGGGGCUAGUGCAAUUCCUAGUGGCUCACAUGCCCCAAUUCAAUUCACCCACAUUCUCCACACUUAGAAAUCUCAAAUUCUCCAAAUAAAUCAAGACAAGUAUGUAAUCACCAACUAAGAUCAACAUCAUGGAUACCACAUUAAUAGGCUCACUUCUUUUGGGUACGGAGAUUAUAAAAACUUACUUUUUAGUUGAAAAUUAAGUACACUUUUUUUUACUCAAAAUGGAAAACGGGCCUAUUCUAGUGGGACAUCCUAAAAAGGCAAACGAGCCUAUUAGAGUGGGACGGAGGGAGUAUAUUAUUAAUGGAAUAUUGUGUCAGAAAUAGAGAUGCUUCUCUACUUGGGAAUUCACUAAGAGCAUCAUUCAAGCCUGGAGCAAUUUCACGAACCAAAUUGAAGCAUCAGAUGUCUCAACCAGAAAAAUGGGGACAAUUGCCAAUACACAGAAUGAUACGGAGAAGAAUGUGUACAUGUAGUAUUUUCCUGUGUAUGCACAAAUACUGAUAGGAUGGAGGCAGGUUACAUACCUCUGCUUGCCUUUAUAUCUUAUAAGCAGAGCUUGUCAGUUGUGACACCUUGUAUUUGCUUUUCAGCUUGAUUAUAUGCAUGACUGAUUAUUUUUAUACUCAAGAGUAAACGUUCCCUAAUUGUAACACUAACAAUUCGUGUGGCAAAUCUCCAUAGAAAAGGUUGUUGGAGAGGUCGAGGGAGACGAGGAAGGAGAGGCGUCCAAGCUGUGGUGGAAUGGUGCCGAAGAGAGCCAUGUUGGAGAGAUUCAAGGCAGCUACUCUUGGGUGGCGUAAGCUGCAAGUGACGCCAAUCCAGCUGCAGACGGAG
rnacentral:lncRNA from 1 species